CAGCCUUGUUGAUGUAUUAACCUGGCUUCUUUUUACUUCCUUGUACACGGGAAGAGUCUCCCGUACAUUAAGGGACCUGAUGCGCCAGGAUCAAACGCCUGAAUAUGUUCAGUACGUUUUUAAUAAAUCGUCAUGAACACGCUGCAUCUUGGUCCGAUCCUUACUCCUCGAGAUCUGCCGUUAAAAAUCCAGGAGGAGCUCCUGUGGCCUCUGCAUGUUGCUCCCGGGGGCAAACUACCUGCCCUCCAGGACACCUACACCACCCGUUGUUACAGGAAGGCCAUAAAGAUCAUCAAGGACAUCAACCACCCGAACCACUGCCUGUUCACCCCGC